rnacentral:rRNA from 1 species
UGACUGGGGCGGUCUCCUCCUAAAGAGUAACGGAGGAGCACGAAGGUUAGCUAAUCCUGGUCGGACAUCAGGAGGUUAGUGCAAAGGCAUAAGCUAGCUUGACUGCGAGAGUGACGGCUCGAGCAGGUGCGAAAGCAGGUCUUAGUGAUCCGGUGGUUCUGAAUGGAAGGGCCAUCGCUCAACGGAUAAAAGGUACUCCGGGGAUAACAGGCUGAUACCGCCCAAGAGUUCAUAUCGACGGCGGUGUUUGGCACCUCGAUGUCGGCUCAUCACAUCCUGGGGCUGAAGUAGGUCCCAAGGGUAUGGCUGUUCGCCAUUUAAAGUGGUACGCGAGCUGGGUUUAGAACGUCGUGAGACAGUUCGGUCCCUAUCUGCCGUGGGCGCUGGAGAAUUGAGGGGGGCUGCUCCUAGUACGAGAGGACCGGAGUGGACGCAUCACUGGUGUUCGGGUUGUCAUGCCAAUGGCAUUGCCCGGUAGCUAAAUGCGGAAGAGAUAAGUGCUGAAAGCAUCUAAGCACGAAACUUGCCCCG